rnacentral:rRNA from 1 species
GACGAACGCUGGCGGCGUGCCGUAACGACAUGCAAGUCGAGCGGGGACUUAUGGAAUGGAAGCUUCGGCAGAAUGAAGUAAGUUCUAGCGGCGGACGGGUGAGUAACGCGUGAGCAACCUGCCUAUCACAGGGGAAUAACGCAUCGAAAGGUGUGCUAAUACCGCAUGAGACCACAGGACCGCAUGGUCAAGGGGUCAAAGAUUUAUCGGUGAUAGAUGGGCUCGCGUCUGAUUAGCUAGUUGGUGGGGUAAUAGCCUACCAAGGCGACGAUCAGUAGCCGGACUGAGAGGUUGAACGGCCACAUUGGGACUGAGAUACGGCCCAG